rnacentral:rRNA from 1 species
GGAAGGAUCAUUACCGAAUUGUCAAACAUGGGUUGUUGCUGGCCCCCGAACGGGGCAUGUGCACGCUCUGUUUACACAUCCACUCACACCUGUGCACCCUCUGUAGUUCUGUGGACCGGGAGACGUCGUCUUCCUUCCGUAGCUCUACGUCUUUACACACACACCGUAGCGAUGUCUCAUGGAAUGUUUUUUCGCGUUUAACGCAAUACAAUACAACUUUCAGCAACGGAUCUCUUGGCUCUCGCAUCGAUGAAGAACGCAGCGAAAUGCGAUAAGUAAUGUGAAUUGCAGAAUUCAGUGAAUCAUCGAAUCUUUGAACGCACCUUGCGCCCCUUGGUUAUUCCUCGGAGCAUGCCUGUUUGAGUAUCAUGAACACCUCAACUCUCAUGGUCUUCCAUGAUGAGCUUGGACUUUGGGGGUUUGCUGGCCUUGUGGCCGGCUCCUCUCAAAUGAAUCAGCUUGCCAGUGUUUGGCGGCGUCACGGGUGUGAUAACUAUCUACGCUCGUGGUCGUCCACCAGGUAACCCUCAGCGAUGAAGGUUCAUUGGGGCUCAUAAACGUCUCUCCCCAGCGAGGACAACUUUUGAACGUUCGAUCUCAAAUCAGGUAGGACUACCCGCUGAACUUAAGCAUAUCAAUAAGCGGAGGAAAAGAAACUAACAAGGAUUCCCCUAGUAACUGCGAGUGAAGCGGGAAGAGCUCAAAUUUAAAAUCUGGCGUG